rnacentral:rRNA from 1 species
CCAGCCGCCGCGGUAAAACGUAGGAGGCGAGCGUUAUCCGGAUUUACUGGGUGUAAAGCGCGUGCAGGCGGUUUGCUAAGUUGGGUGUGAAAGCUCCUGGCUCAACUGGGAGAGGUCGCUCAAGACUGGCAGACUGGAGAGCAGUAGGGGAAGGUGGAAUUCCGGGUGUAGUGGUGAAAUGCGUAGAUAUCCGGAGGAACACCAGUGGCGAAGGCGGCCUUCUGGACUGCAUCUGACGCUCAGACGCGAAAGCUAGGGGAGCAAACGGGAUUAGAGACCCCGGUAGUCCUAGCUGUAAACUAUGUGAACUUGGCGCUGGGUGGGUAAAACUAUUCAGUGCCGAAGCAAACGCGAUAAGUUCACCACCUGAGGACUACGGCCGCAAGGUUAAAACUUAAAGGAAUUGGCGGGGGAU